UACGUAGGGGGCGAGCGUUGUCCGGAUUUACUGGGCGUAAAGAGCGCGUAGGCGGCUUGGAACGUUGGGGGUGAAAGGCGUGGGCUUAACUCACGUAGGUCUCUCAAGACGGCCAGGCUGUGAGGGCAGUAGAGGCAGGUGGAAUUCCGGGUGUAGUGGUGAAAUGCGUAGAGAUCCGGAGGAACACCGGUGGCGAAGGCGGCCUGCUGGGCUGACCCUGACGCUGAGGCGCGAAAGCGUGGGGA
rnacentral:rRNA from 1 species